rnacentral:rRNA from 1 species
UACAGAGGGUGCUAGCGUUGUUCGGAAUCAUUGGGCGUAAAGGGCGUGUAGGCGGUUUGUUAAGUCAUGUGUGAAAUCCCUCGGCUCAACCGGGGAAGGACGCAUGAAACUGGCAAGCUAGAGUACCAAAGAGGGGGGUGGAAUUCCCGGUGUAGCGGUGAAAUGCGUAGAGAUGCGGAGGAACACCGAUGGCGAAGGCAGCCCCCUGGGCUAACACUGACGCUCAGGCACGAAAGCGUGGGGAGCAAACAGG